UGACUGCAACUAAAAUUCUAUUUUAUCAAACCCAAGCCCAGUCCAGCCCAGCCCAAUUGUCAACCUCAAUUUCCAGGCCCAAGCCUGGCCCAAUGGGACGAUUAGGCCCAGCUCAGCCCAGGAUUUUUGGGCCAGGUCGGGUCAGGCCGUCCAUGCCAGGCUGCCCAUGACCAAGUAUAACACCAAUACACUCCGUAUUUUGUAAGAGUGCAUCAUUGAAGAAGGCCAUCACAUAAGCAAUUUGUGCGCAAAAAAAAAAUACAAGUACGAAAGGCGCUACUUCGACAGGGGAUGAAUAUUAUAAACGACGAUAUGAAUAGAACAUCCAAGCUACAAAGUUUAUUGUCCGAAAAGUACAUCCAGACUACAAAGUAAACUCAGGAGCUGUCCAACUACACUACCAGAAUUUUAAGUGGAAAGGAAAAGCACUUCAUAUGUUAGUUAAAGGUGACUGACUGCCAGUUUCCAUCCUGCAGGUUCAGGUCCAAAUGACAAGAAAAAACAAUUAUACUUUCACCUUCUUGCUNNNNNNN
rnacentral:lncRNA from 1 species